UCCUGCAUUUUUUUUAGUUGUAAUCUCUGUCCUGCCUUUUUUUUUCUCACUCUAUUCGGUCCUGCCUUUUUUUUAUUAGUUUAUCCUGACUUUUUUUACCUAAAUUGUCAUCCUGCCUUUUUUUUUGCAAAGUGUCUCAUCCUGCCUUUUUUUUUACUCAAAACUCCUGUCCUGCCUAUUUUUUUUCAAAUUUCAUCCUAGCCACCCCCCCCCCCCCCCUAAAA
rnacentral:lncRNA from 1 species